CCUACGGGCGGCAGCAGUGAGGAAUAUUGGUCAAUGGGCGAGAGCCUGAACCAGCCAAGUCGCGUGAGGGAGUACUGCCCUAUGGGUUGUAAACCUCUUUUGUCGGGGAGCAAAAGCCGGACGUGUCCGGCUGUGAGAGUACCCGAAGAAAAAGCAUCGGCUAACUCCGUGCCAGCAGCCGCGGUAAUACGGAGGAUGCGAGCGUUAUCCGGAUUUAUUGGGGUAAAAGGGUGCGCAGGCGGAUUUUUAAGUCAGCGGUCAAAUCGUGGGGCUCAACCCCAUCCAGCCGUUGAAACUGGGGAUCUAGAGUGUGCGAGAGGUAUGCGGAAUGCGUGGUGUAGCGGUGAAAUGCAUAGAUAUCACGCAGAACCCCGAUUGCGAAGGCAGCAUACCGGUGCACAACUGACGCUCAGGCACGAAAGCGUGGGUAUCGAACAGGAUUAGAUACCCGUGUAGUC
rnacentral:rRNA from 1 species